rnacentral:rRNA from 1 species
UACGGAGGGUGCAAGCGUUGUCCGGAUUUAUUGGGUUUAAAGGGUGCGUAGGCGGCUCAUUAAGUCUGGGGUGAAAGCCCGUUGCUCAACAACGGAACUGCCCUGGAAACUGGUGAGCUUGAGUACAGACGAGGGUGGCGGAAUGGAUGCUGUAGCGGUGAAAUGCAUAGAUAGCAUCCAGAACCCCGAUUGCGAAGGCAGCUGCCUAGACUGUAACUGACGCUGAGGCACGAAAGCGUGGGGAGCGAACAGG